rnacentral:rRNA from 1 species
CUAUACAUGCAGUAGAACGCUGAUGUUUGGUGUUUACACUAGACUGAUGAGUUGCGAACGGGUGAGUAACGCGUAGGUAACCUGCCUCAUAGCGGGGGAUAACUAUUGGAAACGAUAGCUAAUACCGCAUAAGAGUAAUUAACACAUGUUAGUUAUUUAAAAGGAGCAAUUGCUUCACUGUGAGAUGGACCUGCGUUGUAUUAGCUAGUUGGUGAGGUAAAGGCUCACCAAGGCGACGAUACAUAGCCGACCUGAGAGGGUGAUCGGCCACACUGGGACUGAGACACGGCCCAGACUCCUACGGGAGGCAGCAGUAGGGAAUCUUCGGCAAUGGACGGAAGUCUGACCGAGCAACGCCGCGUGAGUGAAGAAGGUUUUCGGAUCGUAAAGCUCUGUUGUUAGAGAAGAACGUUGGUAGGAGUGGAAAAUCUACCAAGUGACGGUAACUAACCAGAAAGGGACGGCUAACUACGUGCCAGCAGCGGCCGGUAAUAAA